rnacentral:tmRNA from 3 species
GGGGCUGAUUCUGGAUUCGACGGGAUUUGCGAAACCCAAGGUGCAUGCCGAGGGGCGGUUGGCCUCGUAAAAAGCCGCAAAAAAAUAGUCGCAAACGACGAAACCUACGCUUUAGCAGCUUAAUAACCUGCUUAGAGCCCUCUCUCCCUAGCCUCCGCUCUUAGGACGGGGAUCAAGAGAGGUCGAACCCAAAAGAGAUCGCGCGGAUGCCCUGCCUGGGGUUGAAGCGUUAAAACGAAUCAGGCUAGUCUGGUAGUGGCGUGUCCGUCCGCAGGUGCCAGGCGAAUGUAAAGACUGACUAAGCAUGUAGUACCGAGGAUGUAGGAAUUUCGGACGCGGGUUCAACUCCCGCCAGCUCCACCA